GAUGAACGCUGGCGGCGUGCCUAAUACAUGCAAGUCGAGCGAACGGACGAGAAGCUUGCUUCUCUGAUGUUAGCGGCGGACGGGUGAGUAACACGUGGAUAACCUACCUAUAAGACUGGGAUAACUUCGGGAAACCGGAGCUAAUACCGGAUGAUAUUUUGAACCGCAUGGUUCAAAAGUGAAAGACGGUCUUGCUGUCACUUAUAGAUGGAUCCGCGCUGCAUUAGCUAGUUGGUAAGGUAACGGCUUACCAAGGCAACGAUGCAUAGCCGACCUGAGAGGCUGAUCGGCCACCCUGGAACUGAGACACGGUCCAGACUCCUACGGGAGGCAGCAGUAGGGACUCUUCCGCAAUGGGCGAAAGCCUGACGGAGCAACGCCGCGUGAGUGAUGAAGGUCUUCGGAUCGUAAAACUCUGUUAUUAGGGAAGAACAUAUGUGUAAGUAACUGUGCACAUCUUGACGGUACCUAAUCAGAAAGCCACGGCUAACUACGUG
rnacentral:rRNA from 1 species